AUUGAACGCUGGCGGCAUGCCUUACACAUGCAAGUCGAACGGCAGCACGGGGCAACCUGGUGGCGAGUGGCGAACGGGUGAGUAAUGCAUCGGAACGUACCUUUCAGUGGGGGAUAACGUAGCGAAAGUUACGCUAAUACCGCAUAUUCUGUGAGCAGGAAAGCAGGGGAUCGCAAGACCUUGCGCUGAUUGAGCGGCCGAUGUCAGAUUAGCUAGUUGGUGAGGUAAAGGCUCACCAAGGCGACGAUCUGUAGCGGGUCUGAGAGGAUGAUCAGCCACACGGGAACUGAGACACGGUCCAGACUCCUACGGGAGGCAGCAGUGGGGAAUUUUGGACAAUGGGGGCAACCCUGAUCCAGCCAUGCCGCGUGAGUGAAGAAGGCCUUCGGGUUGCAAAGCUCUUUCGGCCGGGAAGAAAUCGCACGGGCUAAUACCCUGUGUGGAUGACGGUACCGGAAUAAGAAGCACCGGCUAACUACGUGCCAGCUGCCGCCGUAAUAC
rnacentral:rRNA from 1 species